GACAGAGGCCCCAAGCGUUAGGCGGAAUCACUGGGCUUAAAGCGUGUGUAGGCGGACGGCCUAAAGUGUCUUGUGAAAUCCCCACGGCUCACCCGUGGAACUGCUGGGCAUACGUGGGCGUCUUGGGCCAACUAGGGGCAGCCGGAACAAGCGGUGGAGCGGUGAAAUGCGUAGAAUAUCGCUUGGAACGCCGAAGGUGAAAACAGGCUGCUGGGGUUGCG
rnacentral:rRNA from 1 species